rnacentral:lncRNA from 1 species
GAAAAUUUAAUCAAAACAUGAUCUUAGAUAAACUUUCCUGUUAUGCUAACUGGUUUUCAGAAUAUUCUAAAUUAAUGAAAGCAAUACCAAAACAGUGGUUACAAGAGCUAACUUAAGAAGAAUCAAUAAAAACAAAAGUUGCCAUUGACUCCGUAUAUAAAUUUAAAGAUAAAAAAGGAAAAAUGGUAUCACUUAAAAACAUUUCCUCCAAAGACAUUUACAUCUCCCUCUUAAAUAGACAUUAUGAAAAACCAAUAGGAUUUCAAAAAUGGGACAACAUAUUUAUCUUGGAAAACAACACAAACAAAAGACAACAAAUGCUAAAUUAUAUCUUUUAUUAUAUACAAGAUAAUAAAUUCAAAAUGUUAAGAUGGAAAUUUCUGCACUACAUUUUUCCAACCAAACAAUUACUUUUCUCUUGGAAAAUAACUACAACUCCGCUAUGUAAUAUUUUUGAUGUCAUUGAAGAUUAUGAGCACUACUUUUUAACAUGCAAAUUUCUGAAAUCAUUUUGGGAUCAAAUAAAACUAUUACUUGAUAAACUUAAAAUAGGACAUCAUAUCAUAUCAAUUAAAUCACUUUUGUACGGAUACAAAAUAAACG